AUGUUCUGUUUACAUUAUUCAAGAACCAUGCGUAGCCAUGGGAGUGCAAUUUGGAUCUUUAUUCAUGAUCCUUGAGAAGCGCUGAUCACGCUUGCUUGGCUUACCGGUAAUGCUAAGAGGAUAUUCACACCUGCCCGGGAGGGAACUACUAUCUUUUGACUUCUUUGGUUUAAAAAUAAAGUACCUAAUGACAUCGAUCGGCAUGGGGCGGGAGUAGCACCCUUGGACUACACAUUAUUAUUGCACACAAUUGAAAUUAGUUUUAGACUAUAAUUUUUGCUCAGCAUAAGUUUUGCAUAGAACUUGUAAAGGUCAUUUAAGGUUCUGAUCCUUAUUUUUCACGUGGGAUUUGUGGAGCUAGGAUGGUUUGGAUUGUGUGGUUUAUAUCGGUAUUGACCUUUCUUAUAACUGCCUGUCGUGAUGUCCGUAUUUUUAGGGGAGACUCUACCAAAAUUUCUAAUAAUUUUAGGACUUAGUUUUUGAGUGUAUUUUGGUGUGGCAUUUUAGGUACGUGGUUACCUGGGGUGUUACAUCUUAUGUGAGUUUGGUUCGUGGCUUUAGGCUACCUACCUCAUGUAUAAAUAGAGAGGGAGCGUGAGGCCUCCCGGUAUCGCUUUUGAGAGUAUUGAGUUGUAAGUUUAGUUAGGGUUUCGAGUUUAGUCGAGAUUUUCAUGAGGAGUGCUAUUGUUGAACUUUUUAAACAGAUACUUGGAUUACCAAAUUUGGUCAUUAACAAA